rnacentral:tRNA from 1 species
GCAGGAGUGGUGAAAUUGGCAGACACGCUAGAUUCAGGUUCUAGUGAGCGCAAGCUCAUAGGGGUUCAAGUCCCCUCUUCUGCACCA